rnacentral:rRNA from 1 species
AUUGAACGCUGGCGGCAUGCCUUACACAUGCAAGUCGAACGGUAACAGGUCUUCGGAUGCUGACGAGUGGCGAACGGGUGAGUAAUACAUCGGAACGUGCCUAGUAGUGGGGGAUAACUACUCGAAAGAGUGGCUAAUACCGCAUGAGAUCUACGGAUGAAAGCAGGGGGUCGCAAGACCUUGUGCUACUAGAGCGGCCGAUGGCAGAUUAGGUAGUUGGUGGGAUAAAAGCUUACCAAGCCGACGAUCUGUAGCUGGUCUGAGAGGACGAUGAGCCACACUGGGACUGAGACACGGCCCAGAAUCCUACGGGAGGCAGCAGUGGGGAAUUUUGGACAAUGGGCGCAAGCCUGAUCCAGCAAUGCCGCGUGCAGGAAGAAGGCCUUCGGGUUGUAAACUGCUUUUGUACGGAACGAAACGGUCCUGGUUAAUACCUGGGGCUAAUGACGGUACCGUAAGAAUAAGCACCGGCUAACUACGUGCCAGCCGCCGCAGUAACAC